CGCAUUGCAGGCAGAUUAUUUACCAGCUGAGCCACAAGGGAAGCACACAGGCAACAAAGCUGAGGUUCUAGGUAACAGCCAGAAUCCAGCCUCCUGCCCCCUCAGCCACCUCCACACCAGGCAUUUAUCCUGGGGUGUCCUGCCCUCUGUGGGGUCAGAUGUCCCUUGACCGCUCACAUUCCACCACCCCAUCCCCUUCACAACCAUAGGCCUGCACGGACAGCUCUCCUUGACCCAUAGUCUAGCCUCUCAUCUUGGUGUUCCAAAUAUCCAUUGCUGAGUUUUAAUAUAAGGUAAUUAAGCCCAAUGACAAAAGCAUCUCCAGGAGGAAGGUGUGACUGAAGCUGCUACUGUUUGAUUGACAUUCAAGACCAUCCUGUCUGCCCAGGGCAGUUCCCAGCCUCUGAAGAAUCAGGUUGACUUUCCUGAUUUCCCUGCCGCAGGGGUGUAACCUGUUUUUCUUUGAACCUCUGGAACUCUUCACCUGCUGCCACUUGGGACUCUCACCUGGUCUACCUGGGCUCAUAGUCCUGUUGCUGCUGCUGCUGCUGCUGCUGCUAAGUCGCUUCAGUCGUGUCCGACUCUGUGCAACCCCACGGACGGCAGCCCACCAGGCUCCCCCGUCCCUGGGAUUCUCCAGGUCUGUCUUCCCACCAGGAAAAGGACCAGGAAGAGGAGUUCCAGGCCUUUCAAGGAAGAUAGUCGACAAUGUCCAAGUCAAGGGGAGCAUUAGGAAAGGAAUGUGGCUUGCACACAAGCUCUCCAUGCUCCAUGAUGUGGUUCCCGUGGCUCUAGGAAUACCCUUCAAGGCCCCUAAAACUCCUCGGCGCCUGCAUAUG
ensembl:lncRNA